rnacentral:rRNA from 1 species
UCGGUAUGUACUGGCUUUACUGAUUCCUCCUUCUUGACGAACCGUGAUGUCAUUAAUUUGGUGUUGCGGGAAAUCAGGACUGUUACUUUGAAAAAAUUAGAGUGUUUAAAGCAGGCUAACGCUUGAAUACAUUAGCAUGGAAUAAUGAAAUAGGACGUUAAUCCUAUUUUGUUGGUUUCUAGGAUCGACGUAAUGAUUAAUAGGGAUAGUUGGGGGCAUUAGUAUUCAAUUGUCAGAGGUGAAAUUCUUGGAUUUAUUGAAGACUAACUACUGCGAAAGCAUUUGCCAAGGAUGUUUUCAUUAAUCAAGAACGAAAGUUAGGGGAUCGAAGACAAUCAGAUACCGUCGUAGUCUUAACCAUAAACUAUGCGAACAAGGGAUCGAGAUGA